GGGGGUCAGUGGGGGCUCAGGUGCCCGGUUGCUAUAGUGACCGAGACGCGGCUCCCGCCUUUGGAAUGGAAUGUUGUGCCGAUUUGAAAUCGCGCUGUAUCAGCCAAUGGGACGCGGGCAGGAAAGAAGCGCCACAUUUGAAAGCUGGAAUCAGCCUCACAGCCGCCGCUCUCAGUCUGCGGGUGAAGUGCAACUGAGUCCAGUCGUGUAACGCAGCUCCACACUCACUGAACGCUCUCAACCGUUUACAAGGAAGUGCCUGUAAAGUAAAUCAAAGCCGCUGCUAUAUUAACAUGAAUACAAAUCAAGGCUUAACCAAGAGUCGUAGUGCAAACCAGCACCCUCCCACUCCAAGUCUGACCAAGAGAAAACAGGUUCAAGAAAAGAACGUUUUCAGAAGUCCAACAGACAGCAUGCUAUCUCCAUGCUCACAGAGGCUUAUGAAACAGAAGCAUAUCAAUGCUACAGAGCUCCAAAUCAAUAAAAUUACAGUGCAACAAAUUCAAGAGUUAACCCUUGGAAACAAGGAGAAUGAAUGGCCUGGUCCGGAGUAGAGACUUGCUUUUGGAAGAAUUGCCAAUUAACUUCACAAUGUCUGAACUUUGGGGUAACUUCCCUUGCAGGAAGUAAUUAAGCUAUUUUACGCAGGUGUAUAUGUUCCUAUAGGUUUACUGUAUCCUUUAAAAUGGUUGUCUUCAUAAAUUAUAACUAUGUAAUUAUAACUUCUUUAAACUUCUACUAGGUAAAAUCCUUGAAUGACCAGAGAGAAUAUACUGUGUGCACUUUUGCCAUGUUCAUCCUGUCACUUUUGUAUUAUUUGGUUGUAUGGUUUCUUUUUGAUGUCUAUUUCGGUCACUUUAAAAUAAAACAAAUGCAGCCUCUAAUUUAAACAUU